UACGAAGGGGGCUAGCGUUGUUCGGAAUUACUGGGCGUAAAGGGCGCGUAGGCGGUGUGUCAAGUCAGGCGUGAAAGCCCCGGGCUCAACCUGGGAACCGCGCUUGAGACUGGCACGCUAGAGUUCGGGAGAGGAUGGUGGAAUUCUCAGUGUAGCGGUGAAAUGCGUAGAUAUUGGGAAGAACACCAGUGGCGAAAGCGGACUUCUGGGUUGUUACUGACGCUGAGGUACGAAAGCGUGGGGAGCAAACGGGAUUGAGAA
rnacentral:rRNA from 1 species